rnacentral:rRNA from 1 species
GACGAACGCUGGCGGCGUGCUUAACACAUGCAAGUCGAACGGAAAGGCCCUGCUUUUGUGGGGUGCUCGAGUGGCGAACGGGUGAGUAACACGUGAGUAACCUGCCCUUGACUUUGGGAUAACUUCAGGAAACUGGGGCUAAUACCGGAUAGGAGCUCCUGCUGCAUGGUGGGGGUUGGAAAGUUUCGGCGGUUGGGGAUGGACUCGCGGCUUAUCAGCUUGUUGGUGGGGUAAUGGCUUACCAAGGCUUUGACGGGUAGCCGGCCUGAGAGGGUGACCGGCCACAUUGGGACUGAGAUACGGCCCAGACUCCUACGGGAGGCAGCAGUGGGGAAUAUUGCACAAUGGGCGGAAGCCUGAUGCAGCAACGCCGCGUGCGGGAUGACGGCCUUCGGGUUGUAAACCGCUUUCGCCUGUGACGAAGCGUGAGUGACGGUAAUGGGUAAAGAAGCACCGGCAAACUACGU